UAUAUAUAUAUAUACACACACACACGUAUUGUAUGUAUGUGUGUGUGUGUGUAUAUAUACACAUACACACGUAUUAAGUGUGUGUGUGUGUGUGUAUA